rnacentral:lncRNA from 1 species
AGGGGAUUUGCAUAUAUAAUACAAGGCUUGCACGAGGGCAAGCAACAACGAAAGCGAAAGCUCUAAGCUAAACAUUUACCCAUACAUAAUACUUGAUUGCUUUUGCACCAAAUAGAAGUAAACUGAACUAUUACAUUUCAUGCUUUCAUCCAUAAUUCUUUACAUUUAGCCAUUCACCAAAAUAUAUAUUAUUUUCAACUUUACAACUUUCUAGAACAACAAAAAGUUGAUACAUGUAUACAAAAGGGGAAUGACUACAAAAUGUAAAAUAGUCCCGAUGGCCGCUAUCUAUGGCGCUAAACCCUUGCCUCGGUCCUCCGCCGCCCCGCUCGUGCUAGGACCUGUAGGGUUAGUGGUGUGAGAACUAAAUAAAGUUCCCAGUGGGCUCGGCAUCCAACCUCGCCGACUUACCCACUAGGUCUAUCAAGGCAUAAGUAUUUCAAAGGAGGGAAAGUAACCACUACUAAUGCAACUAAUACUAUGCCUGCAAGAAAGAGGUCAACAGAUAUAUAAUUCAAUGCGAUAAUGGAAAUGCAUGCAUGCUCCAAUCGUAAAUAAGCUUUGGCUCUUACCUAAUCUUGCCGGUUAACUUUGUUAAUCCCAAUAACUCAUAACCCAAAUCCCGUCAUAACAGGGGGCCUCGAACCACCCCUAGGGACCGUCGUAGGGGACCUCGCUCCCCGAGGUGACUAUUUUCGAAAACUCACCGCUUGAGGGGGUGCUACCACCCUCAAGCCAAGACGUAUCAUGAGUAUCGAUCGAAUCCCCAACUUGAGGAUGCUUUGCCACUUAUUACAACGCCACAUUUAUGCUAGGUUCUCUACUCAUUUGUUCAUGUCACUUGCUAAUCAUUUUUGUCCCAAUGUCACUAUGGUUAAACCUAUGUUUAACACUUACUUGUCAAUGCCAAUCUAUCUCUCUAUUGUCAAUGUCAUAGGUAUUUACCAUUGCCAAGACCAAGUCUCACAAUCAUGCAAUCUCUAGGGUUCAACAAUACAUGUCCAUCGUGGUUCCAUAUCUUUCUACUUUCCAAUACAUUAGAAAAAACAUAAUGAAAUAACCAAAGUUCACAUGUAAAUUAAUCCUAAUAUGCAUGAGUGACUAUAAAACCAUAUGUUCAAAAUAGAGAAAUAGACAUAGAAGGGAAUCCAACGAUUCCGGCGUGCACCCCCCACCUUGUGAGGUGGUAGAAGACGAACGCGACAAUCUCCCGAACUCUAUGAACGAUGAUCCGCGCCCUACAACCCAAAAAUGGUGCCAAAUUAGGCCCUUUAUACAUGAACCACUCUUUAAUAUCCUCGUAAAAUUAAACGAAGUCGUCCCACGCGCUUAGGACACUCCUAAUUAGGUUUCUACGGGGUGAAUUUGUCCCCGAACAAUCCUAGGGCAAAAGCCCCAAUUUUCAAGCCCUAACAAUGUCAUUUAGGGUUCCCCCAUAAAUCGAUCCCAACCCUAAACAAACAAUAGCUUAGGAUCAUCUAAAAAGCAUCCUAGUAAGGUUUCUAGGCCUUUGGAACCAACCCUAGGGCUCUUAACGCAACUUCCAAGGAUUCACUAUGAGAACACCUUGAGCUUUCAUGGGUUUCAUGGUGGUCAUGGCUCAAAAGAGCCUCUAAAGCCACUAAGGAGCACAAAGUUCCAAAUCCCUGACCCAAAAUCCAAACCCUAGAGGAAAACCUUACAAAACUUACCUCUAGUCCAAGCUCCAUCAAGGUCCUUCUUGUUGGAGAGCUCCUAGAACUACUAAAGCACCAAAUCCACCUUCUUCUCCAAGUUCUUCUUCUUCUUCUCCAAGCUCUAGAGGGGUUCUAGAGAGAGAAAAAGAGAAAAUGAGAGAGGAGGAGAGAAAUGGCUGUGGGAGAGAGAGGAUGGGCCAUAUAUAGUGUUGUAAUAAUUGCACUUAAGCCCCUCCACUUGUUUCCCAUUGAUCUGCCCAGAUUGGGCAUUUUUCGCUUUCGGGGACCGGUCUCCCCGACCAGGGACCGGUUCCCGAACGGGGGUUUUCCAGGACUUAGCCCAUUUUCUGGCUUUUUCAGCUGGCUGCGCAGUGGGGGACCGGUCUCCCGAGGACCGGUCUCACCACCAGGGACCGGAUGCCUCAGGAUUUUCCUGGCAGACUACGCGUACGGGGACCGGUCUCUCCUUCAGGGACCGGUCCCCGAGAGCACAAAAUCUGGGACUUAGCCAGAUUUUGAAACUUCUCUCUCUCGGGUCCCUUUGCACUAUAUAUAGGCUCCAAUGCACUCGGGGCCUACACCAACUCGUUCCACACCGCGUUCCGCUCGUUUCGACGGAAUCCGGCACGAUUUACGAGGUAUGUGGUAUGUUACAUUCUCCACCCCUAAAAUUUAGUUUUGUCCGCGAAACUACUUAUUCGGAAUUGAAAUCCAUACCUCAAUUCAACUCGUCGAAGAGGUGAGGAUGGCGCUCUCGCAUCUUGCUCUCGAGUUCCCAAGUUUCUUCCCAAUCGCCGUGCUCACUCCAAUGAAUUUUAACAUAUAAAAUUUCGCGAUUCCGUAGUCUCCUUACUUCCCGCUCUACGAUGUAAGCCGGGAACUCUUCAUAUGUCAUAUCCUCCUGAAGCUCUAUCGGUAUAUACGAGAGAAUAUGUUCUGGAUCGUAAACAUACUUGCGGAGUUGGGAUACAUGGAAUACAUCAUGCACUCCCGCAAGCCUUGGUGGUAAUGCCAACUUGUAGGCCACCGCGCCAACUCGUUCCAAAAUCACGAAGGGUCCGAUAUAGCGGGGACUUAACUUCCCGCGAACACCGAACCGCUUAACUCCUCGCGUCGGCGAUACUUUUAGAAAUACGCGGUCUCCAACCGCGAACUCAAUAUCCUUUCGCCGUUUGUCGGCAUAACUCUUGUACCUUGAUUGCGUCGUCACUAAUCUUUGUCGGGCAAGGCGAACUUUCUCUUCCGCCUCCCGCACCACGUCGGGGCCAAGAACCAUCUUCUCGCCCACGUCGCUCCAAUGUAUUGGCGAGCAACACUUCCUACCGUAAAGGGCCUCGAAUGGUGCCAUCGCAAUGCUUUCUUGAUAGCUAUUGUUGUAUGCGAAUUCCGCCAUCAGUAAAUGAUCGUGCCAUCCGCCCUUGUAAUCAAGUACACACGCUCGAAACAUAUCCUCAAGUAUUUGAAUAGUCCUUUCCGAUCGACCGUCGCUCUGAGGAUGGAAUGCCGUACUAAAGUCGAGCCGUGUGCCCAAUGCAUCUUGCAAGCUCUUCCAAAAAUGAGAUGUGAACCUAAGGUCUCGAUCCGAUACAAUAGAUGUCGGAACCCCAUGAAGUCUCACCACCUCGUCGAGGUAUACUUGGGCUAGCUUGUCCCCCGAUCAAGUAGUGUGGAUCGGUAAAAAGUGUGCCGAUUUUGUCAACUGGUCCACAACUACCCAAAUCGCGUCAUGUGCACCUUGGGAUCUAGGUAAACCCGUCACAAAAUCCAUUGCGAUGUUUACCAAUUUUCACACGGGUAUAGGUAGACUUUGUAAUUUUUUCGCCGGAAAUCGACGUUCCGCCUUUACCUGUUGGCACGUGAGACAUUGCGCCACGAACUCUCCUAUAUCUUUCUUCAUGCCCGGCCACCAAUAAUGUAAUUUCAAGUCUCGAUACAUUUUGGUGCCGCCCGGGUGAAUACUAUCGGGAGAUUGAUGCGCUUCUUGCAUAAUCGCCCUCCGAAGGUCGUCGUCCCUGGGCACGCACCAAUGAUCCCGAUAUCGUAGUGCGCCAUCGGUUCCAAUGCCAAAAUCAUCGGCACCGCCGCUCUCAACUUUGUCCCGCACCUUUUGGAGAAAUUCAUCCGACACUUGUAAUCCUUUAAUUUUCUCCAACAAGGUUGGUUGCACAACUAGGGUGGCAAGUGUUGCCGGCACUUCCGGCGCCACAACUUCUAGGCCAAACCGUUGCAUCUCCUUUUGCAAAGCCGGUUGGGACGUAAUUUCCGUCGCCAAAUUUUCCGCCGACUUUCUGCUCAGAGCGUCGGCCACGACGUUCGCUUUCCCAGGGUGGUAGAGAAUCGUAACAUCAUAAUCUUUGAGCAACUACUCCAACCACCGCCGUUGUCGCAAGUUUACCUCCUUUUGGGUGAACAAGUAUUUGAGACUUUUGUGAUCGGUGUAGAUCUCGCAAUGUUCCCUAUACAAAUAAUACCUCCACAAUUUUAGCGCGAAAACAACCGCCGCUAGCUCAAGAUCGUGGGUCGGGUAAUUCUUUUCGUAACUCUUCAGUUGGUGCGAAGCAUAAGCUAUGACUCGGCCGUUCUGCAUUAAGACACACCCGAGCCCGAUGUAUGAAGCAUCACUAUAUAUGACGUAACUCUCUCCCGGCGUCGGUAAGGCAAGCACCGGAGUGGACGUCAAUCUAUUCUUCAGCUCCUCGAAGCUUCGCUUACACUCGGGGCCCCAAACAAAUUUCACCCCUUUGUGCGUAAGGCGCGUUAGUGGAGUUGUUAUCCUAGCAAAUCCCUCCACGAACCACCAGUAGUAACCCGCAAGUCCAAGGAAGCUACGAAUUUCCGCCACACUUGUCGGGCGAGGCCAAUCUUUAAUCGCCUCAACUUUCUUUGGAUCCACCGAGAUACCAUCUCCGGAUACAACGUGACCCAAGAAGGUAACCUCCGAAAGCCAAAACUCACAUUUCUUUAGUUUUGCGUAAAGCCUUUCCUUCCGGAGUAUCUCCAACACGAGUCUUAAAUGCUCCUCGUGUUCUUCUUCGGUCCGAGAAUAUACCAAUACGUCGUUAAUCAAUACCACGAUGCACCGGUCCAAUAGCGGAUGGAAGACUCGGUUUAUUAGGUCCAUAAAUGCCGCCGGGGCAUUAGUGAGCCCGAAUGGCAUGACCGUAAACUCGUAAUGGCCAUACCGCGUACGGUACGCCGUUUUGUGCACGUCUUUGGGCCGUAUCUUCAAUUGAUGAUACCCCGAUUGCAGAUCAAUCUUAGAAUAUACCCUUGACCCUUGCAACUAAUCGAAUAGAUCAUCAAUCCUAGGCAACGGGUACUUGUUCUUGAUCGUCACCUUGUUCAACUCGCGAUAAUCAACGCAGAGUCGAAGUGUGCCGUCCUUCUUCUUUACGAACAGCACUAGAGCUCCCCACGGGGACAUGCUCGGCCGUACGAAGCCUUUAUCGAGCAAGUCUUGCAACUGGGCUUUCAAUUCUUUCAGCUCCACCGGUGCUAUUCUAUACGGAGCCUUCGAAACUGGCGCCGCCCCAGGUAUCAAGUCAAUAACGAACUCGACUUCCCGGUCUGGUGGCAAUCCCGGUAACUCCGCCGGAAACACAUCCGGAUACUCGCAUACGACUCGAAUAUUUUCUAAUUCCGGAUACUCCUUUUGAGGGUCCACGAUGGUCGCCAAAUAAGCCUUGCAACCACCCUUGAUCAUUUUCUUCGCCCUCACUGACGAUAUGGUCGCUGCGAAACGCGCACCAUUACACGCCUUAUAGACCAUCUCCUCUUGGUUAGGCUCAUGAAAAGUGAUAACCUUCCAUUCGCAAUCGAUAACCGCGUAAUACUUGGAGAGCCAAUUGGUGCCCAAGAUUACGUCAAAUCCCCACAAUUGCUUCAACACUAACAGGUCGAUCGGCAUGAUCCAAUCGCCUAUCUGUACUGGACAGUCUAAGCACUCAUCAUGCACAUAGAAUGUAAGUCCAGGUGCCGUCACCGUCCAAUAGUCCUCAUAACGCGUGACCUCUAUGUCAUGAGCUAGUGCGAAUGAUGCCGUUAUGAAUGAUUGAGAUGCACCUGUGUCAAAUAUGGCUCUAGCUCUAGUGCCUCUGAUAAGAAUGAUACCUGCCACGACGUCGUCAGGAACAGUAAUUGGUGGCUCCUCCACCUGAGUGUGCAAAUACCCGCCCACUAGGUGCUCGAGAGGCCUCCGGCUGACGAGGCGCCGAUGAUCGUCUAGCUGACACGACGGGUGGCAGUCCCGCCAGCUGCCGCUGAGUGUACUGCACUGAAGCUGAUGACGGGGCUGGGGAUGCACCGCCAGGGCAUUCUCGGCCGAUGUGUCCAGGUUGGCCGCAUCGGUAACACCGCCCCUCCCGCUGUGGGCAACCAGUAACUCGGUGGUCUCCGCCACAAAUCACGCACGGGUAGGUAAUCUGACUCCUUCCACCCCGCAACUGUGAUCGCUGAGGUCGCGGGGGUCGCUUAGAGCUUGACUGCCCCGCCGAUCCACCAGCCGGUCGCUUCUUGGUCUUCUCCCUCUCAUUCUCAAGAGUUUCGCGCUCAUCACGCGCAAUGGCAUUCCCACGCUCCACCCAAAGCGCGCGGUCAAGAACCUCUUCAUAGGUCUUCAAGCGGAAUGCAUGCACAACCUUGAAAAUCUAAGGUCGCAAUCCGCGUUCGAAUGCCUCCGCUCGGUCCCUGUCACCGUGAACUAAGUCCGGCACGUACUACAACAAAAACGGUAUAUAGCGACACUUUUAAAUAUAGGUACAUGUCAAAAAAGUGCUGCUAGCUAAAAUUACCGACACUUUUAAAAAGUGUUGCUAUGUGUGGGGUCGCUAGGUAUAUAGUGACAGUUAAAGAGUGUCGCUAUAACCUAAAAGAGUGCUGCUAAUUUACCAAUACUUAUUUAAGCAUUUAGCAACCGCCGAAACUCUAUCUCAUUGGCUGCGGUGGCGGAGGAGAAUGACAGGAAAGGCUCUUCGUCUAGAAUUUCAGUGGAUUGAGUGAAGAAAGAAGAAAAUAUAGUAAUUGAUUUUUUUUUCUUUUCUGUUUGUAAUCGGACCAAAUGGACUGGGUGUGGUGGGUUGAGUAGAGUAAUUUUUUAUUUUUGGUUGGAUUGGGCUUUAUAUUUAGGCAUUAGUAGAUGUUUUUCUAAGUUUUAGCAUAAAUGGGACACUUACUCAAAAGUGUCCCAAACAUGUGUCCCUAUAACCUAAUUCUGUUGUAGUGACGCAGUUAAUCAUGUGCGUGAAUUCCCUCUCGUACUCCCGCACUGAUCGGCUUCCCUGCCUCAAUUUUCGAAAAUCUUCCUUGAUCUUCCUUUUAUCGCUCUCGGGGAAAUACUCCAUAAAUAGCAUCUCCCGAAACACCUCCCAAGAAAUAUAAGCGUGUCCUAACGAACGAUUUCUCUUCGCUUGAUUCCACCACAACCGAGCCGACCCAUCAAAACAAUGAGCCGCAAGGUGUGCUUUGUCCUUCUCAAGCGUGUAGAUAUCCUCAAACAAUGCCUCCAUCGCGGCUAGCCAAUUCUCCUUCACCCACGAAUCCUUCACGUCGCCGAUAAAGGUUGGAGGGUUGAACCGCUUGAAUGCCGUCAGCACCGCCAACGUACUCUCCUGCUCGGCCUCAAGUACAUCGGGAAUAGGAGUCGAUGAACCCGAUGCCGUCGGAGGAAUAGCCGUCACCGGUGCUGCCGCCACCGCAGGAGGUGGUGCUACAGGAGCAGCAGGUGCGGGCGGAUCCCUUGGCACAGAUGCCGCCGCUGCCGCCUGUCGCGCCAUUAUCUCGUGGAGCUGUCCAAUCUGCUCCCCUUGAAGCCGCAUAGCCCCAGCCAAAGCCGCCAUCUGGGCUCGCAGCUCGCGCACUUCAUCCGAUCCCGCCUGCUCGGGCACUUCAUCGGGCAGUGCCGAAGCGGCUCUACGCGUGUAGCGUCUCGGGGACAUCGUUCCUGAAACGCAUCACACGCAUUAGCACUCAACACACGUGACUCUUACACGUUCCAAAUAACUACCCAAUUAAGAGAAAGCACAAGCCUAAUUAUUUCCACUCUCGGUGUUAUGUGGUCGGCCGCCCCACAAGGUCCCUUAAGUGGACAACAAUUAAGCCUUCUAGUCCAUCUCUACUUCCUUCUAGAGAAGUGUUAUUGUUAACCCAAUCAUUCACUUUCGCAUAAGCCAAAUCCACGUUAAGCGUUUCCUAAGCUCCUAAGGUCUCCAAUUCCUAGGGUUCCUAGGCCAUUCCUAGACUUUUGCUUUCCACUUCUCUCUGAUACCAUUAUAUCUGUCACGCCCCAAUCCCCGCCAAUUUGGUCAGGUUCGGGUCACGUCAACAGACGCCGAACGGACAGAGCCACCCCUGUCUGCCCAAGGCUCCAACAACCAUGUAUAAUAAAGCAAUCAACAGGGGAUUUGCAUAUAUAAUACAAGGCUUGCAUGAGGGCAAGUAACAACGGAAGCGAAAGCUCUAAGCUAAACAUUUACCUAUACAUAAUACUUGAUUGCUUUUGCACCAAAUAGAAGUAAACUGAACUAUUACAUUUCAUGCUUUCAUCCAUAAUUCUUUACAUUUAGCCAUUCACCAAAAUACAUAUUAUUUUCAACUUUACAACUUUCUAGAACAACAAAAGAAGUUGAUACAUGUAUACAAAAGGGGAAUGACUACAAAAUGUAAAAUAGUCCCGGUGGCCGCUAUCUACGGCGCUAAACCCUUGCCUCGGUCCUCCGCCGCCCCGCUCGUGCUAGGACCUGUAGGGUUAGUGGUGUGAGAACUAAACAAAGUUCCCAGUGGGCUCGGCAUCCGACCUCGCCGACUUACCCACUAGGUCUAUCCAGGCAUAAGUAUUUCAAAGGAGGGAAAGUAACCACUACUAAUGCAACUAAUACUAUGCCUGCAAGAAAGAGGUCAACAGAUA